UAACCCAGCCCGUUAUACCUCGGUGUCCUAGUAUAUACACUACGCACUAUGUGCCAUGAUUUAUUAUCACUACGCAGAAAUAGCAAUGUUUAAGACCCGCUCAUACGUUGUUUGUAUUAUUAGCCAACGACAUUGACAUCCGUUAACUAGCGCUCUGCUCAGGUAGCCAUCUACAGGGCCACGGACUGCCACCUACGCAGGUUGUUUCUUUCCUCGGUAAUAUCCGCCUGGUAAGGCUUCAAAUAAUGAACUGGGCUCCGUCUCUCCAAAUUGGAAUCCAAUCAAGAUGCUUGGGGUUGGAUAAAACAACAACUUCGACCUCAAUCACAUCGCCCAUAAUGCAAUGCAGCUGUUAGGGUUAAAUGGUCCAGGAGCAAUCGGAUGGCAAUAAGAUUAUACCAAAGAGAUGGGCAGGCAACUGAAGUCCGGCAUGACUAUGAGUGAUUGGGUCGGCUCGCAUAGAUUGCUGCGUUUGAAUGACACCUAUACUGCUGGGAAAAAACAGAGAAGAUAGAAAUCCUUAGCUUGUUACAGCAAGGCAAUGGCAUUAAAAGGUGCAUAUGAGUUAACAAACCGGUUUGAUAUUGAUUGGAUUGAUGUAUUUUUGGGCAUCCGAGGCGCCGUCGUUCAAAAGUGUGUGCUAUCCGGACAGCUAAGAGUUUGGUAUAUUAAUUUACG
rnacentral:lncRNA from 1 species